rnacentral:rRNA from 1 species
CGGCCUGUUAAGUCAGAUGUGAAAGACCCGGGGCGUUAACCUCGGAAUUGCAUUUGUAAACUAGGCAGGCUAGAGUCUUGUAGAGGGGGGUAGGGAAGUUUACUAGGUGUAGCGGUGAAAUAGCGUAGAGAUCUGAAGGAAUACCAGUGGCGAAGGCGGCCCCCCUCGGACAAAGACUGACGCUCAGAUGCGAAAGCGUGGGGAGCAAACAGGAUUAGAUACCCCUGGUAG